GAUGAAGAACGCAGCGAAAUGCGAUAAGUAGUGUGAAUUGCAGAAUUCAGUGAAUCAUCGAAUCUUUGAACGCACAUUGCGGCCAUAGGUAUUCCUUUGGCCAUGCCUGUUCGAGCGUCAUUUACACCCUCAAGCCUAGCUUGGUGUUGGGCGUCUGUCCCGCCGUUUUCGCGCGCGGACUCGCCCCAAAGUCAUUGGCGGCGGUCGUGCCGGCCCCCUCGCGCAGCACAUUUGCGCUUCUCGGAGGCCCGGCGGAUCCGCGCUCCAGCAAGACCUUUCACGACUUGACCUCGGAUCAGGUAGGGAUACCCGCUGAACUUAAGCAUAUCAAUAAGCGGAGGA
rnacentral:misc_RNA from 1 species